UACGGGGGGGGCAAGCGUUGUUCGGAAUUACUGAGCGUAAAGGGCUCGUAGGCGGCCAACUAAGUCAGACGUGAAAUCCCUCGGCUUAACCGGGGAAUGGCGUCUGAUACUGGAUGGCUUGAAUCCGGGAGAGGGAUGCGGAAUUCCAGGUGUAGCGGUGAAAUGCGUAGAUAUCUGGAGGAACACCGGUGGCGAAGGCGGCAUCCUGGACCGGCAUUGACGCUGAGGAGCGAAAGCCAGGGGAGCAAACGGG
rnacentral:rRNA from 1 species